rnacentral:lncRNA from 1 species
AUGUUUUUCUUGUGUUUCUGUUCUCUCUCUCUUUCCCCCUCUUGUGUUUGUCUUCUCUCGCUCUUUCUCUCUUUCCCCCUCUCGUGUUUCUGUCUUCUCUCUCUCUUUCUCUCUUUCGUGUUUGUCUUUUCUCUCUCUUUCCCCCUCUCGUGUUUGUCUUCUCUUUCUCUCUCUUUCCCCCUCUCGUGUUUGUCUUCUCUCUCUUUCUCUCUCUUUCUCUCUCUUUCCCUCUCGUGUUUCUGUCUUCUCUCACACUCUCUUUCCCCCUCUCGUGUUUGUCUUCUCUCUCUCUCUCUCUUUCCCCCUCUCGUGUUUCUGUCUUCUCUCUCACUCUUUCCCCUCUCGUGUUUCUGUCUUCUCUCUCUCUUUCCCCCUCUCGUGUUUGUCUUCUCUCUCUCUCUCUCUCUCUCUCUCCCACUCUCGUGUUUCUGUCUUCUCUCUCGCUCUCUUUCCCCCUCUCGUGUUUCUGUCUUCUUUCCCCCUCGCGUUUCUGUCUUCUCUCUCUUUCCCCCUCUCGUGUUUGUCUUCUCUCUCUCUCUCUCUCUCCCACUCUCGUAUUUCUGUCUUCUUUCCCCCUCUCCUGUUUGUCUUCUCUCUCUCUCUCUCUCUCUCUCUCCCACUCUCGUGUUUGUCUUCUCUCUCGCUCUCUUUCCCCCUCUCGUAUUUCUGUCUUCUUUCCCCCUCGCGUUUCUGUCUUCUCUCUCGCUCUCUUUCCCCCUCUCGUAUUUCUGUCUUCUUUCCCCCUCUCGUGUUUGUCUUCUCUCUCUCUCUCUCUCUCUCUCUCCCACUCUCGUGUUUCUGUCUUCUCUCUCGCUCUCUUUCCCCCUCUCGUAUUUCUGUCUUCUUUCCCCCUCGCAUUUCUGUCUUCUCUCUCUCUCUCACUCUCGUAUUUCUGUCUUCUUUCCCCCUCGCGUUUCUGUCUUCUCUCUCUCUCUCACUCUCGUAUUUCUGUCUUCUUUCCCCCUCGUGUUUCUGUCUUCUCUCUCUCUCUCUCUCUCUCUCUCUCUCUCUCUCUCUCUCUCUCUCUCUCUCCCCCUCUCGUAUUUCUGUCUUCUUUCCCCCUCGCGUUUCUGUCUUCUCUCUCUCUCUCACUCUCGUAUUUCUGUCUUCUUUCCCCCUCGCGUUUCUGUCUUCUCUCUCUCUCUCACUCUCGUAUUUCUGUCUUCUUUCCCCCUCGUGUUUCUGUCUUCUCUCUCUCUCUCUCUCUCUCUCUCUCUCUCUCCCACUCUCGUGUUUCUGUCUUCUUUCCCCCUCGUGUUUCUGUCUUCUCUCUCUCUCUCUCUCUCUCUCUCUCUCUCUCUCUCUCUCUCUCUCUCUCUCUCUCUCUCUCUCUCUCCCACUCUCGUGUUUCUGUCUUCUUUCCCCCUCGUGUUUCUGUCUUCUCUCUCUCUCUCUCCCCCCCCUCGUGUUUCUGUCUUCUUUCCCCCUCGUGUUUCAGUCUUCUUUCCCCCUCGUGUUUCUGUCCUCCUCUCUCUCUCUCUCUCUCUCUCUCUCUCCCACUCUCGUGUUUCUGUCUUCUUUCCCCCUCGUGUUUCUGUCUUCUUUCCCCCUCGUGUUUCUGUCUUCUCUCUAACUCUCUCUCCCACUCUCAUGUUUUUGUCUUCUUUCCCUCUCGUGUUUCUGUCCUCUCUCUCUCUCUCCCACUCUCGUGUUUCUGUCUUCUUUCCCCUCGUGUUUCUGUCUUUUCUCUCUCUCUCCCCCUCUCGUGUUUCUGUCUUCUCUCGCUCUCUCUCUUCCCCCCUCUCGUGGUCAUUCUGCUCCUCCAGAUCACAGUUUUUUAACCUUUAUUUAUGCAGGGUUUUUUUCCUCAUUGAGGAAACAUUUCUUUUUCAAGAGAGACCUGGUCAAAAAGGUGAAGGAUGGCGGUACAUAACCACUGCUGCCCCUGAGCCAACUGGACUACACUGA